GAUGCUUCAUGUGAUGGGAUGACGUGUAGCUAACUGCACCAAUAAAGUUAGCUAACGUUAACAAGCUAGUGUUAAUGCUAAAGUUAACAACACAAAUCUUACCACACAAAGGUUGUAAUAAAUCUGUUUAUUAACAGCAUUAAACGCGACAUUGCAGUACUUUAAAUACACGUACUGUACACCGACGUGGGUUCAGCAUAACGGUAACUAUAGCGGAGGGCCGAGGGUGUUAGCUAGGGCGGUUAGCUAGCCGAGUUAGCUAUGCUCGGCUAAGCUAUAUUAGCCGUGAAACGCUCAGAUAUCGCUGUUUACGUACGUUAAGACGUCAUCCGUGCAUCUGUUUAGGGCGGAGGACGGUGCUGCCUGCGAGCACGGAGCUGUUCUCUGCUGCUCCCUCCCGUACGGCGGCAGAAGACAAAAAGACGAGAGCAAGACUUGGCACCUCCUGAUCACCUCGGCUCCCUCCGUGUUGCUCCUC
rnacentral:lncRNA from 1 species